rnacentral:rRNA from 1 species
GAUGAACGCUGGCGGCGUGCCUAAUACAUGCAAGUCGAGCGAACGGACGAGAAGCUUGCUUCUCUGAUGUUAGCGGCGGACGGGUGAGUAACACGUGGAUAACCUACCUAUAAGACUGGGAUAACUUCGGGAAACCGGAGCUAAUACCGGAUAAUAUUUUGAACCGCAUGGUUCAAAAGUGAAAGACGGUCUUGCUGUCACUUAUAGAUGGAUCCGCGCUGCAUUAGCUAGUUGGUAAGGUAACGGCUUACCAAGGCAACGAUGCAUAGCCGACCUGAGAGGGUGAUCGGCCACACUGGAACUGAGACACGGUCCAGACUCCUACGGGAGGCAGCAGUAGGGAAUCUUCCGCAAUGGGCGAAAGCCUGACGGAGCAACGCCGCGUGAGUGAUGAAGGUCUUCGGAUCGUAAAACUCUGUUAUUAGGGAAGAACAUAUGUGUAAGUAACUGUGCACAUCUUGACGGUACCUAAUCAGAAAGCCACGGCUAACUACGUGCCAGCAGCCGCGGUAAUACGUAGGUGGCAAGCGUUAUCCGGAAUUAUUGGGCGUAAAGCGCGCGUAGGCGGUUUUUUAAGUCUGAUGUGAAAGCCCACGGCUCAACCGUGGAGGGUCAUUGGAAACUGGAAAACUUGAGUGCAGAAGAGGAAAGUGGAAUUCCAUGUGUAGCGGUGAAAUGCGCAGAGAUAUGGAGGAACACCAGUGGCGAAGGCGACUUUCUGGUCUGUAACUGACGCUGAUGUGCGAAAGCGUGGGGAUCAAACAGGAUUAGAUACCCUGGUAGUCCACGCCGUAAACGAUGAGUGCUAAGUGUUAGGGGGUUUCCGCCCCUUAGUGCUGCAGCUAACGCAUUAAGCACUCCGCCUGGGGAGUACGACCGCAAGGUUGAAACUCAAAGGAAUUGACGGGGACCCGCACAAGCGGUGGAGCAUGUGGUUUAAUUCGAAGCAACACGAAGAACCUUACCAAAUCUUGACAUCCUUUGACAACUCUAGAGAUAGAGCCUUCCCCUUCGGGGGACAAAGUGACAGGUGGUGCAUGGUUGUCGUCAGCUCGUGUCGUGAGAUGUUGGGUUAAGUCCCGCAACGAGCGCAACCCUUAAGCUUAGUUGCCAUCAUUAAGUUGGGCACUCUAAGUUGACUGCCGGUGACAAACCGGAGGAAGGUGGGGAUGACGUCAAAUCAUCAUGCCCCUUAUGAUUUGGGCUACACACGUGCUACAAUGGACAAUACAAAGGGCAGCGAAACCGCGAGGUCAAGCAAAUCCCAUAAAGUUGUUCUCAGUUCGGAUUGUAGUCUGCAACUCGACUACGUGAAGCUGGAAUCGCUAGUAAUCGUAGAUCAGCAUGCUACGGUGAAUACGUUCCCGGGUCU